UAGGGAAUCUUCCACAAUGGACGCAAGUCUGAUGGAGCAACGCCGCGUGAGUGAAGAAGGUUUUCGGAUCGUAAAGCUCUUUUGUUGGUGAAGAAGGAUAGAGGCAGUAACUGGUCUUUAUUUGACGUUAAUCAACCAGAAAGUCACGGCUAACUACGUGCCAGCAGCCGCGGUAAUACGUGGGUGGCAAGCGUUGUCCGGAUUUAUUGGGCGUAAAGCGAGCGCAGGCGGAAUGGUAAGUCUGAUGUGAAAGCCCACGGCUCAACCGAGGAACUGCAGCGGAAACUAUCAGUCUUGAGUGCAGAAGAGGAGGGUGGAAUUCCAUGUGUAGCGGUGGAAUGCGUAGAUAUAGGGAAGAACACCAGUGGCGAAGGCGGCUCUCUGGUCUGCAACUGACGCUGAGGCUCGAAAGCAAGGGUAGCGAACAGG
rnacentral:rRNA from 1 species